GAAUUAUGUUAUGAUGCCAGAUCCCAGCAUUAACAGGAAUAGCUUGGACACAAAUAUAUGAUGGGUGCAGUUCCACUGAUACAGAAGUGCCUCAGCCCUGGACCCUGUGUGCCAUUGGAGGGACAUGUGUGACAACAGCCAGCCUUGGUCUCAGGAAGGAACCCAGCAACCUCCCCUUGAAGCAUCCUCAGCAGUCAGCCUCAUAGACAGGUGGAUGUUGUUCCUGCUCCCUUUCUGGACGCUGGACACACAGUACUGAGUCAUUCAAAUGAUACAUGCAAGCCUCCUCUUGGCAGUGGAUCUGAAGAUCUAUUUUGAUUCUUCCCAGAAGCCACAAAGAGAAUACUCCACCAGACUUAACUUCAAGUAAAAAAGUCUUAUUUGACUCAAGUUUGCCAUUGCCUUCUGACAAAAAGCACCUGAAAAGAAGAAUACUUGUGUUUUCUAUGCAUAAAAUUCAAUAAAAC